GACCCCGCACAAGUGGUGGAUCAUGUUGUUUAAUUCGACGAUACGCGAAGAACCUUACCAGGUCUUGACAUCCCCUGCAAGUCUAUGGAGACAUAGAGGAGGUUAUCAGGGAGACAGGUGGUGCAUGGUUGUCGUCAGCUCGUGUCGUGAGAUGUUGGGUUAAGUCCCGCAACGAGCGCAACCCUUAUUGCUAGUUACCAUCAUUAAGUUGGGGACUCUAGCGAGACUGCCAGUGAUAAACUGGAGGAAGGUAGGGAUGAUGUCAAAUCAUCAUGCCCCUUAUGACCUGGGCUACAAACGUGAUACAAUGGCUGAAACAAAGGGCCGCGAAAGAGUGAUCUGGAGCUAAUCCCAAAAAACAGUACUCAGUUCGGAUUGAAGUCUGCAACUCGACUUCAUGAAGUCGGAAUCGCUAGUAAUCGCAAAUCAGAAUGUUG
rnacentral:rRNA from 1 species